UGGGGAAUAUUGGACAAUGGGCGAAAGCCUGAUCCAGCCAUGCCGCGUGAGUGACGAAGGCCUUAGAGUUGUAAAACUCUUUCGUCGGGGACGAUAAUGACGGUACCCGAAGAAGAAGCUCCGGCUAACUUCGUGCCAGCAGCCGCGGUAAUACGAAGGGAGCUAGCGUUGUUCGGAAUCACUGGGCGUAAAGGGCGCGUAGGCGGCAAUUCAAGUCAUCUGUGAAAUCUCCGGGCUUAACUCGGAACGGUCAGAUGAUACUGCUUUGCUAGAGUGCAGAAGGGGCAAUCGGAAUUCUUGGUGUAGCGGUGAAAUGCGUAGAUAUCAAGAGGAACACCUGAGGUGAAGACGGGUUGCUGGGCUGACACUGACGCUGAGGCGCGAAAGCCAGGGGAGCAAACGGGAUUAGAUACCCCGGUAGUCCCUGAGCGGGCUGGCAAGGCGCAU
rnacentral:rRNA from 1 species